AGUGAACGCUGGCGGUAGGCCUAACACAUGCAAGUCGAACGGCAGCACAGUAAGAGCUUGCUCUUACGGGUGGCGAGUGGCGGACGGGUGAGGAAUACAUCGGAAUCUACUUUUUCGUGGGGGAUAACGUAGGGAAACUGACGCUAAUACCGCAUACGUCCUACGGGUGAAAGCAGGGGAUCAUCGGACCUUGCGCGAUUGAAUGAGACGAUUUCGGAUUGGGUAGUUGGCGGGGUAAAGGCCCAUCAAGGCGACGAUCCGUAGCUUGUCUGAGAUGAUGAUCAGGCAUAAUGGAACUUAAACACGGUCCAGACUCCUACGGGAGGCAGGAGUGAGGAAUUUUUGACAAUGGGCGGAAGCCUGAACCAACCAUAGCGCGUUGGUGAAGAAGGCCUUCUGGUUCUAAAGCCCUUUUGUUGGGAAAGAAAAGCAGCAGGAUGUUACCCCGCUGUUCUGGCGGUAACCAAAGCAUAAGCACCGGCUAACUUCGUG
rnacentral:rRNA from 1 species